rnacentral:rRNA from 1 species
ACGCUGGCGGUAUGCUUAACACAUGCAAGUCGAACGGAAACGAAACUAGCUUGCUAGUAGGCGUCGAGUGGCGGACGGGUGAGUAACGCGUAGGAAUCUGCCUGAUAGUGGGGGAUAGCCCGAAGAAAUUCGGAUUAAUACCGCAUAAUCUAUUCGUAGUAAAGUGGGGGACUUUCGAGCCUCACGCUAUCAGAUGAGCCUGCGUAAGAUUAGCUUGUUGGUAGGGUAAAAGCCUACCAAGGCAACGAUCUUUAGCUGGUCUGAGAGGAUGAUCAGCCACAUCGGGACUGAGACACGGCCCGAACUCCUACGGGAGGCAGCAGUGGGGAAUAUUGGACAAUGGGGGCAACCCUGAUCCAGCAAUACCGCGUGUGUGAAGAAGGCCUGAGGGUUGUAAAGCACUUUCAAUUGUGAAGAAAAGUUAACGGUUAAUAACCGUUGACCUUGACGUUAACUUUAGAAGAAGCACCGGCUAACUCCGUGCCAGCAGCCGCGGUAAUACGGAGGGUGCAAGCGUUAAUCGGAAUUACUGGGCGUAAAGCGUGCGUAGGCGGUUUAUUAAGUCAGAUGUGAAAGCCCCGGGCUUAACCUGGGAACUGCAUUUGAAACUGGUCAACUAGAGUAUGGUAGAGGAAAGUGGAAUUUCUGGUGUAGCGGUGAAAUGCGUAGAUAUCAGAAGGAACAUCAAUGGCGAAGGCAGCUUUCUGGACCAAUACUGACGCUGAGGUACGAAAGCGUGGGUAGCAAACAGGAUUAGAUACCCUGGUAGUCCACGCCGUAAACGAUGAUAACUAGCCGUUGGGGGGAUUUACCCUUUAGUGGCGAAGCUAACGCGUUAAGUUAUCCGCCUGGGGAGUACGGCCGCAAGCUAAC